UACGGGGGGAGCAAGCGUUGUUCGGAUUUACUGGGCGUAAAGGGCGCGUAGGCGGCCACCGCAAGUCAAUUGUGAAAUCUCCGGGCUUAACUCGGAAAGGUCAACUGAUACUGCGGGGCUAGAGUGCGGAAGGGGCAACUGGAAUUCUCGGUGUAGCGGUGAAAUGCGUAGAUAUCGAGAGGAACACCUGCGGCGAAGGCGGAUUGCUGGGCCGACACUGACGCUGAUGCGCGAAAGCCAGGGGAGCGAACGGG
rnacentral:rRNA from 1 species